rnacentral:sRNA from 1 species
GGACGCACUUGUCUUAGCAGUUCUCGCUGACCGCGCUAGCUGCGGCUUCUACGCUCCGGCACUCUGAGUUCAUCAGCAAACGCCCUGGCGUCUGUCCUCACCAUGCCUAGCCUUUGGGACCGCUUCUCGUCGUCGUCCACCUCCUCUUCGCCCUCGUCCUUGCCCCGAACUCCCACCCCAGAUCGGCCGCCGCGCUCAGCCUGGGGGUCGGCGGCCCGGGAGGAGGGGUUUGACCGCUCCACGAGCCUGGAGAGCUCGGACUGCGAGUCCUUGGACAGCAGCAACAGUGGCUUCGGGCCGGAGGAAGGUGAGCGGUGGGCGGGUGCCGACGCGACUCGAGGGGCCGGGAAGGUGGGGAAGCCCCGGUGCUGGAAGGGGUCAGAGCCGCCUUGGCUUCCUAUCCCAUCGGGACCCAGAUUGCUUGGGGGCAGGGGGAAUUGGAGUAUAAGGUGAGUGAGGCGGAAACUGAGGCACGGAGUGGGAAGGAGCGUUGGUUUCUUAAGGAAACAGCACCUCCCCCG